GACGAACGCUGGCGGCGUGCUUAACACAUGCAAGUCGAACGGAAAGGCCUCUUUCGGGGGGUACUCGAGUGGCGAACGGGUGAGUAACACGUGAGUAACCUGCCCUUGACUUUGGGAUAACUUCAGGAAACUGGGGCUAAUACCGGAUAGGAGCUCCUGCUGCAUGGUGGGGGUUGGAAAGUUUCGGCGGUUGGGGAUGGACUCGCGGCUUAUCAGCUUGUUGGUGGGGUAGUGGCUUACCAAGGCUUUGACGGGUAGCCGGCCUGAGAGGGUGACCGGCCACAUUGGGACUGAGAUACGGCCCAGACUCCUACGGGAGGCAGAAGUGGGGAAUAUUGCACAAUGGGUGGAAGCCUGAUGCAGCAACGCCGUGUGCGGGAUGACGGCCUUCGGGCUGUAAACCGCUUUCGCUCAUGACGAAGCUUUGUGUGACGGUAGUGGGUAAAGAAGCACCGGCUAACUACGUG
rnacentral:rRNA from 1 species